AGUAUCAGUGAUGAUAUCUUGGCUCCCUCUACUGACCACCCUGAGGAGAAAAGCCAUUGUUACCCAAUUCUGUCUGAGAUGUU